ensembl:lncRNA
ACCAAAAUCAGACACAUCAAUGAAAUGUCUUAAUUUGACACAUGCUUGCUUUAGUUAUUUAUUAAGACACAACUUGCACUCAUUUUAACAGACAAGCCAAAGAAUGUCUCAGUGUCUAUCAGUCAUGGGGAAAUAGUGGAGGGCAGUUCUGUGACUCUGACCUGCAGCAGUGAUGCCAACCCACCAGUGCACAACUACACCUGGUAUAUGAGGACUGGAGCUGAAUCUCUUAUUAGGGGCACAGGUGACAGCAUCAGCUUCAAUGUGACCUCUGAUUCCAGUGGACUUUACUACUGUGAGGCAGAGAAUGAAGUUGGCUCUCAGACCUCUACUGGAGUUGCAGUUCCUACAGAAGGUUGGUGUUGUGUAGUGUUAUACAAAUACUACAAUGUAUCUCUGCCUGUUAAAAGUUUGCUGAUUGAUUGUUUACACAAUUCUGGUGAACAUGUGAUUUAAUGCUUGUGUUGAUGAUCAGAAGGAGGAGGUUUUAAAGAGCCAUGAUAUCUUGCCACAUAAUGGCAUUCAGAGUGUAAAGCCAGUUAGCACUGUAUGCAAAGUAUCACUCACAGCACUGUUGAUAAUGUUGCAUGUAUUUACUGUUUCAUUAUCAAGUCUUUCAUUUCCCCAUAGAAGUGGCUGCCAUCAUCCUGGCAGCUAUUAUCACCACAUUCAUCAUGCUUGCCGUCCUGCUGUUACUGGGAAUUGUGUGCUUGAGACGUGGAGGAGCUGUGAGAAACAGCAGAAUGAACCAAAGGGCUGUCCAUUCUGAUGCCCAUGAUGAUACAUACACAGCUCUCAACCCCAGGAGCACAUCCUCUGAGUAUGACACUCUGCAGGUAAGUCAUCCUAGAAACUGAUGUUAUCAGCCUUAUCAUGUAUGUUAGUUAAAUUAGUGAUAUAACUGCCCUAUAUUAAACUGCCCUAUCAAAGUGUUCAGUCAUGACAUUGACAAUGUCCUCUGUGUGUUAACAUAUUUCAGAAUGUGCAGAAUGUGAGUGACACCUACAUGCCUCUCCAGAGAAGAGAUCAGGCCUCAGUGUAUGAGACUCUGCAGAGAAGAGAGACGCCCCAGUCAGAGAUGUAGUUGAAGGAUCUCGGGAUGAGAUGCCAACACCAACCAUGACUUCUGGACUCUCCAUCUCAUACUGAGUGCUGCCACAGUCUUACGCUGUUAAGGGAUCUUAUUAUCAGUGCUAACUUUUCCCUCGUUUCCCAUGCUAGGGACAUUUAAGGUUUCUCCAUUGGUGUAGGUUUCUAUGACUCUCAUCAUCAUUUAGCACCAGUCAACCUCUAAUCUAAUCACCUUUCUAUUGCUUUGGGUAAUGUGUGCAUUGUGGAGGUUACAUGUCUGUGUAUUUUUCUUUUAACUUACACACCCUUAGUUUACCCAUGUGGCUUAGUUUAAAAUGUGUGUGGAUUCUUAUCUCAUUUUCUUUUCUUUAAUGUAUAGCAGGUAUGUCACGAUUCAACAUUUUGGAUAACUGUGAUAUAUGUUGAUGUCCAUAAUGAUGUUCUAUCUUUUAGACAUCUGUUAAUCUAUUUGUGUAUUAGAUUUUUUUAGUUGUUUUUUGUAAAUAUAAACAUUGAAAUGAUAAUACUUCAUGCUGAUAUAUAUGUUUUUAUAACUCCUGGUGUCUUAAUAAAAUAAAAAUAGUGUAUACUGCA